ACGGAGCGGCGGACGGGUGAGUAACGCGUGGGUAACCUGCCUCAUACAGGGGGAUAACAGUUGGAAACGGCUGCUAAUACCGCAUAAGCGCACAGUACCGCAUGGUACGGUGUGAAAAACUCCGGUGGUAUGAGAUGGACCCGCGUCUGAUUAGGUAGUUGGUGGGGUAACGGCCUACCAAGCCGACGAUCAGUAGCCGACCUGAGAGGGUGACCGGCCACAUUGGGACUGAGACACGGCCCAA
rnacentral:rRNA from 1 species